rnacentral:tRNA from 1 species
UCCCUGGUGGUCCAAUGGCUAAGACUUGCGUUUCCAAUGUAGGAGGCCUGGGUUCAAUCCCUGGUCAGGGAA